AUUGAACGCUGGCGGAAUGCUUUACACAUGCAAGUCGAACGGCAGCACGGGGCAACCUGGUGGCGAGUGGCGAACGGGUGAGUAAUAUAUCGGAACGUGCCCAAUCGUGGGGGAUAACGUAGCGAAAGUUACGCUAAUACCGCAUAUUCUGUGAGCAGGAAAGCAGGGGAUCGCAAGACCUUGCGCUCUGGGAGCGGCCGAUGUCGGAUUAGCUAGUUGGUGGGGUAAAGGCCUACCAAGGCGACGAUCCGUAGCGGGUCUGAGAGGAUGAUCCGCCACACUGGGACUGAGACACGGCCCAGACUCCUACGGGAGGCAGCAGUGGGGAAUUUUGGACAAUGGGCGAAAGCCUGAUCCAGCCAUGCCGCGUGAGUGAAGAAGGCCU
rnacentral:rRNA from 1 species